CCUACGGGAGGCAGCAGUGAGGGAUAUUGCGCAAUGGGCGAAAGCCUGACGCAGCGACGCCGCGUGGGCGAGGAAGGCCUUCGGGUUGUAAAGCCCUUUUGGCAGGGAAGAGCAAGGACUGUACCUGCAGAACAAGUCACGGCUAACUACGUGCCAGCAGCCGCGGUAAGACGUAGGGGGCGAGCGUUGUCCGAAGUUACUGGGCGUAAAGGGUGUGUAGGCGGCCGAGCAAGUCGAAGAUGAAAUCCCAGGGCUCAACCCGGGAAUUGUCUUCGAUACUGCUGGGCUUGAGGGUAGUGGAGGAGAGCGGAAUUCCCGGUGGAGCGGUGAAAUGCGUAGAUAUCGGGAGGAACGCCAGAGGCGAAGGCGG
rnacentral:rRNA from 1 species